rnacentral:rRNA from 1 species
AUUGAACGCUGGCGGCAUGCCUUACACAUGCAAGUCGAACGGCAGCACGGGAGCAAUCCUGGUGGCGAGUGGCGAACGGGUGAGUAAUAUAUCGGAACGUGCCCAGUCGUGGGGGAUAACGUAGCGAAAGCUACGCUAAUACCGCAUACGAUCUAUGGAUGAAAGCGGGGGAUCGCAAGACCUCGCGCGAUUGGAGCGGCCGAUAUCAGAUUAGGUAGUUGGUGAGGUAAAGGCUCACCAAGCCGACGAUCUGUAGCUGGUCUGAGAGGACGACCAGCCACACUGGGACUGAGACACGGCCCAGACUCCUACGGGAGGCAGCAGUGGGGAAUUUUGGACAAUGGGCGCAAGCCUGAUCCAGCAAUGCCGCGUGCAGGAUGAAGGCCUUCGGGUUGUAAACUGCUUUUGUACGGAGCGAAAAGGCUUCCACUAAUACUGGGGGCUCAUGACGGUACCGUAAGAAUAAGCACCGGCUAACUACGUGCCAGCCGCCGCAGUAA